AAUCAUUUGUAAAACUUCUGUUGGAUAUACAGUUUUGCAGUACCUUUGCCUAUUCAGAUAAUUCAAAAUUCCAACCCCCACUAAUCAGUUAAAGCGCUCUCCGUGCUCUUGGCAAGCUAUAAAAGCCAUCCCAUCCCAUGCAUGCCACAAAAUUAUUAACUCAAAUCUGAAUACUAGCUAGUGUGCGUUCAAAAGUAAAAAACACAAAGAGAGAAACAGGCAAACAAAGAAACAGAGCUGAUGAGAGCUAUGGUCUCCGGGCUGCGGAAGAGAGUAGCAUUGCGCCGAAAGCUUCAAAUUCGAAGGAGCCUGUAGACAUCGAAUUCAACCUUUCGUGUUCACAGCGCCUUACCAAGACAAAUCCGUAAUAUCAUCUGUUCUUUAGAUUUCUUGGUACUAGCUAGCUAGCUAACCUAUUAAACAUUCUGUGUGUUUUGUUGGAUGUUUAUAAUUAAAGGUCAAAAGGACCUCCAUUGUAGUGGAUGCUUUACCCCACAUUUAUAUGCUGAAACUCAAGCUCGAAGCAGUCCACAGAGAGUACUUGCAUCUCAUGGCUAUCAAGACAGAUUACAUAAACCUAAUCAAACAUCUUCAAGUCCGUGAGGAAGUGAAGGUAGAGAAGAUUGAGAAGGGUUUCAUGUGAGAGUGAAGUGUGAGAAAGCAAAGGACACUCUGGUUUCAGUUUUGGAGGUAUUUGAAGAAAUGGGUCUCAAUGUUGUGCAAGCUAGAGUUUCAUGCAACAACAAUUUUUCCAUGGAAGCCAUUGCAGCUGUAGCUGAUCACCAAAACCAAGAAAAGCUGGAUGUGAUAGUUGUGACACAAACAAUACUUAGGGCCACCAAGAUUAAUAAAGAUGGAAGGAGACGCAUGAAUGAUUUGUAGUUCCUCAAGUUAAUAACUCUUAAUUAGUAGAGUUGAAUCUUCUCAUCAAUGUAUAAUGAAGAUAUUAAUUGAUGCGUAUGUAAUAUAGAAGUAUUUUUGUG